rnacentral:RNase_P_RNA from 1 species
AGCAGGCUGGACAGUCGCGGGGACAAGGCGAAAGCCUGUUCAUGAGGAAAGUCCGGGCUCCACAGGGCAAGAAUAACGGGUAACGCCCGCCGAAGGCGACUUCAGGAAAAGUGCAACAGAGAUAUACCGCCCCGUCACAUCCCCAGCAAUGGGGCUCCGCAAAAACGCGGUUUUUGCGGGGAGACGGGGUAAGGGUGGAAAGGCGAGGUAAGAGCUCACCCGACGGCGCGUGAAAGUGACCGUCGCUGUAAACUCUAUUCGGAGCAACACCGGUAUGGGAGCGUAUAGGCUGGCCCGGCUGCUCCCGGGGUGGCUUGAGCGUGCCGGCAACGGUACGCCCAGAUAGAUGACUGUCAAAACAGAACCCGGCUUAUAGGCCUGCUCG